rnacentral:snRNA from 1 species
GUGCUCGCUUCAGCAGCACAUAUACUAAAAUUGGAACGAUACAAAGAAGAUUAGCAUGGCCCUUGCACAAGGAUGACAUGUAAAUUCGUGAAGCAUUCCGUAAUUUA